rnacentral:lncRNA from 7 species
CGUCCUUCUGCCCCCAAAUCCCUGGUUUUGGACCCAAAAUUCAUCUCCGUCGGGUGUCCCAAAAUCGCGGGGUUUGGCCCCAAAAUGUGGCAGUUCUGUGUCCCAAAAUCCCGUGGUUUGUACCCAAAACUCCGCAUCUCCGUCGGGUGUCCCAAAAUCGCGGGGUUUGGCCCCAAAAUACUGCAUUUCUGUGCCCCGAAAUCGCGGCGUUUGGCCCCAAAACUCCGCGUCCUCAUCGGGUGGACCAAAAUCUGCAGGUUUUGUCCCAAAAUGUUGCGUCCUUCUGCCCCAAAAUCCCCGAGUUUGGACCCAAAACUCCGCAUCUCCGUUGGGAGUCCCAAAAUCGCGGGGUUUGGCCCCAGAAUGUUGCAUUUCUGUGCCCCAAAAUCCCGCAGUUUGGACCCAAACUUUCUCAUCUCCGUCGGGUGUCCCAAAAUCACAGGGUUUGGCCUCAGAAUGUUGCAUUUCUGUGCCCCGAAAUUGCGGCGUUUGGCCCCAAAACUCCGCGUGCCGCUCUGCUGUACCGAAAUAGCGACGUUUGGCCCCAAAACGUUGCAUUUCUGUGUCCCAAAAUGGCGAUGUUUGGCCCCAAAGCUCCGUGUGGCGCUGCCCCAAAAUGCCGUCCCCGCUCUCAGUGCGCCGCCGGCACCGCCAUGGCUGUCAGCUGACACGCGUGUGCCUCCGUCCCGCGUCCAUCCCAUGUCCCGCGUCCAUCCCGUGUUCUGUGUCCAUCCAUGUCCCGUGUCCAUCCAUGUCCCGUGUCCAUCCCAUGUUCCGUGUCCAUCCGUGUUCCGUGUCCGACUGUCCCACACCCAUCCCGCGUCCAUCCAUGUCCCGUGUCCAUCCCAUGUCCCAUGUGUGACCGUCCCAUGUCCCAUGUGUGACUGUCCCCUGUCCAUCCCAUGUCCUGUGUCCAUCCCGUGUCCCGUGUGCAUCCAUGUCCCGUGUGCAUCCAUGUCCCGUGUCCAUCCAUGUCCCGUGUCCAUCCCAUGUUCCGUGUCCAUCCAUGUUCUGUGUCUGACUGUCCCAUGUCCAUGCAUGUCCCAUGUCCAAGUGUUCCAUGUCCAUCCCAUGUCCCGUGUGCAUGUCCCGCGUCCAUCCCAUGUUCAUCCAUGUCCCGUGUCCAUCUCAUGUCCCAUGUCCAUCCCCUGUCCCGUGUGCAUCCAUGUCCUGCAUCCAUCCCGUGUGCAUCCAUGUCCCGUGUCCAUCCCAUGUUCCGUGUCCAUCCAUGUUCUCUGUCUGACUGUCCCAUGUCCAUCCAUGUCCCGUGUCCAACUGUCCCAUGUCCAUCCCAUGUCCUGUGUCCAUCCAUGUCCCACGUCCAUCCCGUGUCCAUCCCAUGUCCCAUGUCUAUCCCAUGUCCUGUGUGCAUCCAUGUCCCGUGUCCAUCCCAUGUCCAUCCAUGUCCCGCGUCCAUCCCGUGUUCAUCCCAUGUUCCGUGUCCGACUGUCCCAUGUCCAACUGUCCCAUGUCCGACUGUCCCGUGUCCAUCCCGUGUUCCGUGUCCAACUGUCCCAUGUCCGACUGUCCCGUGUCCAUCCCAUGUUCCGCGUCCAACUGUCCCAUGUCUGACUGUUCUGUGUUCAGCUGUUCUGUUUCCAUCCCAUGUUCUGCAUCCGACUGUCCCGUGUCCAUCCCACGUCCCAUACCUAUCCCAUGUCCGACUGUCCCAUGUCCGACUGUCCCGUGUCCAUCCCACGUCCCAUGUCUGUCUCAUGUAUGACCGUUUUGUGUCUGACUGUCCCAUGCCAGGGCUGUGUGCCAUGUAUGACCAUUCCAUGUGUCCGUCCCAUGUAUGACCGUUCAGUGUCUGUCCCACAUGUGACCAUUCCGUGUGCCCAUCCCAUGUAUGACCAUUCCAUGUAUGUCCAUCCCAUGUAUGACUAUUCCUUGUGACCGUCCCACGUAUGACCAUUCCGUGUCUGUCCCAUGUAUGACCAUUCCAUGUGAUCCUCCCAUGUAUGACCAUUCCAUGUGCCCAUCCCACGUGUGACCAUUCCGUGUGCCCAUCCCAUGUAUGACCAUUCCAUGUGUCUGUCCCACAUAUGACCAUUCCAUGUGUGUGUCUCAUGUAUGACCAUUCCAUGUAUGUCCGUCCCCUGUAUGACCGUUCAGUGUCUGUCCCACGUGUGACCGUUCCGUGUGUCCAUCCCACAUAUGACCAUUCCAUGUAUGUCUGUCCCACGUGUGACCAUUCCACGUGUCCAUCCCACGUGUGACCAUUCCGUGUGUCGGUCCCAUGUAUGACCAUUCCAUAGAUGUCUGUCCCACGUACGACCAUUCAAUGUACGUCUGUCCCACAUAUGACCGUUCCAAGAGUCCAUCCCACAUAUGACCAUUCCAUGUAUGUCCAUCCCAUAUAUGACCAUUGCAUGUAUGCCCAUCCCACGUGUGACCAUUCCAUGUGUCCGUCCCACGUAUGACCCUUCCAUGUAUGUCCAUCUCACAUAUGACCAUUGCAUGGAUGUCCAUCCCACGUGUGACUGUUUCCUGUGUGUGUCUCACGUAUGACCGUUCCAUGUGUCCAUCCCAUGUAUGACCGUUCCAUGUGUCCGUCCCACGUAUGACCGUUCUGUGUGUCCGUCCCACGUAUGACCGCUCCGUGUGUCCGUCCCACGUAUGACCGCUCCGUGUGUCCGUCCCACAUACGACCAUUUUGGGGCAAAUUCCCCCAAUUUCAGUCCGGAGUGCCACAAUCGACUCCAAUUUCGCCGUCUGUGGUCCCAAAGUGUCCCUUUGGGCUCCGAUUUCCCCAUAGUUGGUGCAGUGUCCCUUUUAACUGCAAUGUGUGGGUCGUUUCCCCGCGUCUGCUCCAAUGUGUGGGUCCAAUGUGUGGGUCCAAUGUGUGGGUCCAAUGUGUGGGUCAUUUCCCCACAUUUGCUCCAAUGUGUGGGUCCAGUGUGUGGGUCCAAUGUGUGGGUCAUUUCCCCACAUUUGCUCCAAUGUGUGGGUCCAAUGUGUGGGUCCAAUGUGUGGGUCCAAUGUGUGGGUCGUUUCCCCACAUUUGCUCCGAUGUGUGGGUCCAAUGUGUGGGUCCAAUGUGUGGGUCAUUUCCCCACAUUUGCUCCAAUGUGUGGGUCCAAUGUGUGGGUCCAAUGUGUGGGUCAUUUCCCCACAUUUGCUCCAAUGUGUGGGUCCAAUGUGUGGGUCCAAUGUGUGGGUCCAAUGUGUGGGUCGUUUCCCCACAUUUGCUCCGAUGUGUGGGUCCAAUGUGUGGGUCAUUUCCCCAUGUCUGCUCCAAUGUGUGGCUGCAAUGUGUGGGUCGUUUCCCCACGUUUGCCCCACAGCCAUGCAGGCCGCUUUCCCCCAUCACGGCCCCCCAACCCCCACCUCCGCGCCCCACCACAUCACCCCCCCCCCCCCCCCGUCAGGACCCCCCUCCCCAACCCUUCACCCCCCCAACCAUCCCCCCCCCCCUUCCAGCCUUCUCCCCCCACCCCCCACAUCACCCCC